GAUGAACGCUGGCGGCGUGCCUAAUACAUGCCAGUCGAGCGAACAGACGAGGAGCUUGCUCCUCUGACGUUAGCGGCGGACGGGUGAGUAACACGUGGAUAACCUACCUAUAAGACUGGGAUAACUUCGGGAAACCGGAGCUAAUACCGGAUAAUAUAUUGAACCGCAUGGUUCAAUAGUGAAAGACGGUUUUGCUGUCACUUAUAGAUGGAUCCGCGCCGCAUUAGCUAGUUGGUAAGGUAACGGCUUACCAAGGCGACGAUGCGUAGCCGACCUGAGAGGGUGAUCGGCCACACUGGAACUGAGACACGGUCCAGACUCCUACGGGAGGCAGCAGUAGGGAAUCUUCCGCAACGGGCGAAAGCCUGACGGAGCAACGCCGCGUGAGUGAUGAAGGUCUUCGGAUCGUAAAACUCUGUUAUUAGGGAAGAACAAAUGUGUAAGUAACUAUGCACGUCUUGACGGUACCUAAUCAGAAAGCCACGGCUAACUACGUG
rnacentral:rRNA from 1 species